rnacentral:rRNA from 1 species
GAUGAACGCUGGCGGCGUGCCUAACACAUGCAAGUCGAGCGAACGGACGAGAAGCUUGCUUCUUUGAUGUUAGCGGCGGACGGGAGUGUAACACGUGGAUAACCUACCUCUAAGACUGGGAUAAUCUCGGGAAACCGGAGCUAAUACCGGAUAAUAUUUUGAACCGCAUGGUUCAAAAGAGAAAGACGGUCUUGUUGUCACUCAUAGAUGGAUCCGCGCUGCAUUAGCUAGUUGGUAAGGUAACGGCUUAUCAAGGCAACGAUGCAUAGCCGACCUGAGAGGGUGAUCGGCCACACUGGAAGUGAGACACGGUCCAGACUCCUGCGGGAGGCAGCAGUAGGGAAUCUUCCGCAAUGGGCGAAAGCCUGACAGAGCAACGCCGCGUGAGUGAUGAAGGUCUUCGGAUCGUAAAGCUCUGUUAUUAGGGAAGAACAUAUGUGUAAGUAAAUGUGCACAUCUUGACGGUACCUAAUCAGAAAGCCACGGCUAACUACGUG